AGACGGCCCUAUCCCUGUCUCCCUUGGCUGACUCUCUUUUCGGACUCAGCCCGCCUGCACCCAGGUGAAAUAAACAGCCUUGUUGCUCACACAAAGCCUGUUUGGUGGUCUCUUCACACAAACGCGCAUGAAAUUUGGUGCCAUGACUCGGAUCGGGGUACCUCCCUUGGGAGAUCAAUCCCCAGUCCUCCUGCUCUUUGCUCCGUGAGAAAGAUCUACCUAGGACCUCAGGUCCUCAGACUGACCAGCCCAAGGAACAUCUCACCAAUUUCAAAUCUGGACCCCACUGAAAAUCGGACUGUUCAACUCAUCUGGCAGCCACUCCCAGAGCCCCUGGAACUCUGGCCCAAGCCUCUCUGACUGACUCCUUCCCAGAUCUUCUCGGCUUAGCAGCUGAAGACUGACACUGCCCAAUCGCCUUGGAAGCCCCCUAGACCAUCACGGAUGCCGAGCUUCGAGUAACUCUCACAGUGGAGGGAACGCGCAUGAAAAAACCAAACAAACAAAAAAAUUUCUUUUGGUAGCAGAAUAAAAAAACAAAAAAAAGGACUUUUUCUUCUGGACUGAACUAUAUUUAAAUCUCAAAGGAUGGACAUCUCACAACCUUCCUACAGCAAGUACUGUGAGAGCUGCAUCUUGUCCCACUGGAUGGUCUUCAGAGACAAUAAUACAUAAUGGAGCUGUCAUCUCCUAUGAUAACAAUGCCUUCUUCUGGAUACCUCCUGAAGGACCUGCCUGAGGCUCUUUCACUGUUAGUUUUUUUUUAAUAAGUAGAAGGAUUACACUCUAAAAUAAUAAGUGUAGUAUAGUAAAUGUAUAAACCAGUAACAUAAUGGUUUAUUAUCAUUAUCAAGUAUUACAUACUGUACAAAAUUAUAUGUGCUACAAUUUUAUGUGACUGGCAG
rnacentral:lncRNA from 1 species